CUUCAACGAACCCAACCACAGCGGACGCUCGGCGUCCCGGCCCUGCCCGUACGUGGCCAGCAGAGCCUGCGCCUC
rnacentral:antisense_RNA from 1 species